rnacentral:tRNA from 1 species
UGCGGGGUGGAGCAGUGGUAGCUCGUUGGGCUCAUAACCCAAAGGUCAUAGGUUCGAAUCCUGUCCCCGCUACUA